rnacentral:lncRNA from 1 species
UGAGAAGUUUGAAUAAAAUUCCCCAUUCUCCCCACUCUCUAUCUCUCUUUCUCUCUCUAGCUCGUCUCCCUCUUCUCUAUCUCUUCUUCUUCUUCUUCUUCCUCCUCAUCCCAAUUCCUUCUCAUCGCAAGCUCAGAUCUAUUCUCAAUCGAAGCUCUCGAUCUCGCACAGCUGAUACCAGAUCAGUAUUCGAUUGAAUACAGUUUAUCAUCAUCUCCUAUCCACGAUCCUCGGUUUCAUCCUCAUUAGAUCGAGGCA